UACGGGAGGCAGCAGUGGGGAAUAUUGCACAAUGGGCGCAAGCCUGAUGCAGCCAUGCCGCGUGUAUGAAGAAGGCCUUCGGGUUGUAAAGUACUUUCAGUCGUGAGGAAGGUGUUAAGGUUAAUAACCUUAGCAAUUGACGUUAGCGACAGAAGAAGCACCGGCUAACUCCGUGCCAGCAGCCGCGGUAAUACGGAGGGUGCGAGCGUUAAUCGGAAUUACUGGGCUAAAGGGCACGCAGGCGGUUAAUUAAGUUGGAUGUGAAAUCCCCGGGCUUAACCUGGGAAUGGCAUUCAAGACUGGUUAGCUAGAGUCUUGUAGAGGGGGUAGAAUUCCAUGUGUAGCGGUGAAAUGCGUAGAGAUGUGGAGGAAUACCGGUGGCGAAGGCGGCCCCUGGGACAAAGACUGACGCUCAUGUGCGAAAGCUGGGGAGCAAACAGGAUUUAGAUACC
rnacentral:rRNA from 1 species